ACAGGCUCUAAAAUCUUCUUUCUAUUGCCUCAAGGGAUCAGGUCUGUGCUAAAAUACCUUUCUAGGAUGAGUUAUUAUGAAAUGAAGUGUGGUUUAUUUCUUCAACUUGCUUAUUCUUCAUCCUGUGAAACCUGCACCUGUGAGACUGAACAUCUUUAUGUUUCUGCUGAAAUGCAAGGGCCAGGUGGAAUACACAGCAGGGAAGGACCAACAACCUUAAGAAUUACAAAUCCAGACACUGGCUGCAUUAUCAAACAAUGACACAGUGGCAAUUCGCAAAAUGGGCCUUGGUAGAAUGGAGGAAGAGGAGGUCAGAAAGAGGGGGAAAUUAAAAAAUGGGCAGAAUGGUGCUGGAGAGAAACUGCAAGAAACAGAAUGUGAAUAAAGAAGCACCCAAGUAUUCUGAAAGCGUGGUCUGGAU